ensembl:lncRNA
UUUUUUGUUUUUUUGUUUUUUGGUUUUUUUUUUUGUUUUUAGGGCCACACCGGUAGCAUAUGGAGGUUCCCAGGUUAGGGGUCGAAUUGGAGUUGUGGCUGCUGGUGUACACCUCAGCCACACCAACACCAGAUAUGAGCCGCGUCUGCGACCUACACCACAGUUCAUGGCAACGCUGGAUCCUUAACCCACUGAGCAAGGCCAGGAUCAAACCUGAGUCCUCAUGGGUAAUAGUCAGAUUCGUUUCCACUGAGCCAGGACAGGAACUCCCUUUUGUAAGUGCUCUUUUAGCAAGAGAAACUUCUAGCAACAAGGUGGUACAGCAUGGAAAGUACAUGUUAGGGACUGGAGUCAGACCCGAGCUUUGUGGUUUACAAGCUGUAGGCAUUCAGCUAAUCUUUCUGAGCCUCAGUUUCUUCACUGGUAAAACAGGGGAUCCAACUAUCGACAGCUCAGGACAAUUGGAAGAACUGGAGGAUCUACAAGUAAAAUGCCCAGCACACACCCAAUAAAUUAUUAUUUUUAAAGAUUUUAAUUUUUUCCAUUAUAGUUGAUUAACAAUGUUCUGUCAAUUUACCCAAUAAAUUAUUAUUGUGGAACUAACUGGAGUUUGCUCGUGGCCUAGUGGUUAAGGAUUCAGUGUUGUCACUGCUGUGGCACAGGUUUGAUCCUUGGCCCAAGAACUUCUGCAUGCCUUGGGUAUGGCCAAAACAAAAAAGUUUUUUUGUUUUUUUUUUUUUUGUCUUUUUGCUAUUUCUUGGGCCGCUCCCGCUGCAUAUGGAGCAGCCCUAGAAAAGGCAAAAAGACAAAAAGAAAAGAAAAGAAACCACAUAGAGUCCUAUAUGCCAAUGCUGUAACCAUUCCGAAUCAUCUUUAAAAGUUGCCUAUGCUGUUUUUAUUAUUUCCUAGCCUUUCAAACUUUGAGCAUGAGCAUGCUACUCUGGUUGUAACCAAAAAUCUAACCAAACUGAAAGAAAUCCUGCCCUCAAAAUCUGAAGAUGCUAAUGUGGUGUGACACUUGGGUUUGGAAGCCUCCUCAGCCCACUAGAAGCAGGGCUCUGCCCUUGUGGUAAAUUGAACAAUUAAAGUUUAAUGUUUUGGCUACUUGCCAGGGAUUAAAUCAGUGGCAAGAGAAACUAGAAGCAGGGCCCUACAGAGUGGCAGCCCUGAAAGGGUACUGUUAUAACAGUAGGAGGGAAAGGCAAUUUGGGGUGUUUGGUGGCCUAAAAUCUUUCAUCUGUAAAGUUCUUCCUAGACCCCAACUUCAUCCUUUAAACUGGUACAAGUCUACGUGAGGGAGGUGUUUACCUGGAAAGAAGAUUAAAAGUGUGGGGGGCAGAUUUCCUUAGAGGAGAAGGCAAGUUUCUGUAGAGUGGCUAUUUCUGAGGUAAACGGACGGACACCCUCCUGACAUUUUUACAAUUGCCUCUUUCCUUUCCCUGUUCAAUCGGAAGCAAGGACAAUGUCUCAGGGGUGAGGUCUGGGGAAGAAUCACGGCCAUCUUGCAAGGAAGACAAUGAAAACAACAGAGAGGAAGAAAAAAAUAGAGUGACCUCGGGUUCUUCUCCUAGCUGUUGGGGAAAAGUGACCCUGGCUCGGAUCAUCAGUGUCAGAAAAUGAGAUACAUGAACACGAGGAGAUCUCAACAAGGCUCUUUACUUCUGCAGAAGGGUGCGCCAAAGAGGGAAGGCCCUCCCAUUUAUCCCUACGCAGGUGGUAUACCUGUCCCCUUCCCAGUGGUCAGGUCAGGACACAUUCUUCUCCCUUGGCUAAUUUGAAACAAAUUGUUACUGGGAGAAGAAGGAAAGAGGGGGGUGGAGGAGGGUGUCUCAGAGAAAGCAGGACAAAGUGGAGUAACCAAGACUUCCUUUGAUAGGAAAGACAUAUGUUAAUUCUCACAGAGCCUAAUACUUCCGGGUUCCAGCUGGAUUCACAAGGUCAAACUGAAUAUGGAAGAACGUCAGUCUCAGUUCUCACCCACGGAGGGGCUGCACCGUGAGCCAGCCAGAAACUAACCUGCCCAGGUGACAUCAGGGGACUUGAGGAGGCUUCACCUCAAAACCUGCCCAGGUAGUUUUCUAAGGGACACAUUCACUUCUUCCUCUGUUGUCCUUAUUAUUCGGGAGGCAAGAGCUGCAGAUCCACACUUCCGGCCUCUCCCAAGUGUUUUGCAUUAACUGUUCCACAGUACAAACACAAUCAACUUGGUAUGUUUGAAUGUUUCGUUUUGUUUUUUCAAAAAUGUUUUAAUUAAAACAAAAUAAUCAUCCAUGCUAAGCACAUUGUUGUCUUUUAAAGGCCACUUUAAAAGUGACAAUAGAACCAUGGAAUAAAACUCAGCUGUUUAGGAAAGUGAUAGAAGUUUAUUUUCUUCUUUUUUUUUCUGGCCUUUUUUUUUUUUUUUAAUAUAAUGUCUCAGGGCUGGUGCCACCUGCUGCCUGGGCUUUCCUCUGAGAAAUAGAUCUCUCAGCGGUUUGAUCCAAGCAACAUCUGCAUAGCUGAAUAAACCAUGGACUGGUUCCUAGGCAGGCAUUAUUUUCUUUAUGUCUACACUGAACCACACUGAAUUUCUUUUUAAAAUUUUUAAAACAGCCCACUGCCUGUUCUAAUAUGGCCCAUGAACUAAAAAAAAAUGAGCCAUACAAAAGAAGAAUAUUUUGUGAAAUAUAAAAAUUACAGGAAAUUCAAACAUCGGUGUCCAUGUAAGUUUUAUUGGAACACAGCCAUACCUGUAUUCAUUUACAUUUUCUCUAUGGCCACUUUUGCCCUACAAAGCCAGAGUUGAAUAAUUGCAACUGACAGUACAUGGCCCACAAAGCCCAAAUUAUUUACUGUCUAGCCCUUUACAAAAAACAUUUGCUGACCUCCGACCUAGAGCCUCAGAUGAUAUUACAGGCUCAAAAAAUCUAAAUAUGGUCAAUUGCC